UUAACCUUUAAUUAAGUCCAGAGAGACUUGCAAGGUUGCCAUAGGAUACGUGUAUGUGUUUUUAAUGCUACAUGUGUACCUCUUUGCAACGUUGCAAAGAGGUUUUUUUAU
rfam:Paraliobacillus sp. PM-2 genome assembly, contig: CONTIG000002